GAAGAAAUACUUUGCUUGGAACGUUACAGUUUUUCUCAAUUGCUAAAACACUAAACCCUAUUGUCUGAACCAAAUGCUCAGUUGCCUGAACCCACUGAUUGAAUCAAUCACUCUUUUGGCAAAACCAUAAGCACUUUUCACCUGUUUAGACACAACUUGCAAACACAUUUUCAUUGUGAUGCACCCGUGCUGCAUAAUGGUGAGCACAGGUGACAAAAGUCAAACACAAUUAAAGCACAGGUGUCACCACUUGAA